UACGGAGGAUCCAAGCGUUAUCCGGAUUCAUUGGGUUUAAAGGGUGCGUAGGCGGAUUUGUAAGUCAGUGGUGAAAGCCAGCAGCUCAACUGUUGAACUGCCAUUGAUACUGCAAGUCUUGAGUACAUUUGAUGUGGGCGGAAUGUGUCAUGUAGCGGUGAAAUGCAUAGAUAUGUCACAGAACACCAAUUGCGAAGGCAGCUUACUAAGGUGCAAUUGACGCUGAGGCACGAAAGCGUGGGGAUCAAACAGG
rnacentral:rRNA from 1 species